rnacentral:rRNA from 1 species
GAUCCUGGCUCAGGACGAACGCUGGCGGCGCGCCUAACACAUGCAAGUCGAACGAGCGAGAGGAGGUUUACUUUCUCAAGCGAGUGGCGAACGGGUGAGUAACGCGUGAGGAACCUGCCUCAAAGAGGGGGACAACAGUUGGAAACGACUGCUAAUACCGCAUAAGCCCACGACCCGGCAUCGGGUAGAGGGAAAAGGAGCAAUCCGCUUUGAGAUGGCCUCGCGUCCGAUUAGCUAGUUGGUGAGGUAACCGG